GAGAACGAGGUCCGGAAUCCCGGGUCUGGGGUCCUGGCCGGGAGGGUUCAGGCCUGGCUCCUGGGGUCCUGGCUUCGAGCAGGGAGGUGGCCCGGGGACCGGUUUUCGCGCUGGCUCUGCGCGGUGUCUGUCAUCUCGGCCAGGAGUUGCACCCAUACCUCCCAUAAAGGCCUCAAUAUCCCUACCCUAAAAUGGAAGAGUAAGGAGGAUAAAUCACAGAUCUGCCACUCAGUAGCUAUAUUACAUUGGUAGGUUCUUCAAUAAUUGAUGGUGAUGAUGAUGGAAAUGGUCUUCCCUGGAUGGAACGUCAUACAUGCUGUUUGAUGACUCAUCAAAAGAGAAGAUCACAGGUGCCUGCAUAAAAGACCUCUCACCGCUGUGGCCUCUCCCGUUGCAGAGCACAGGCUCCGGACGCACAGGCUCAGCGGCCAUAGCUCACGGGCCCAGCCGCUCCGCAGCAUGUGGGAUCCUCCCGGACCAGGGCACGAACCCGUGUCCCCUGAAUCGGCAGGCGGACUCUCAACCACUGCGCCACCAGGGAAGCCCUCAUUCGUUAACUCUUUACUCUUCUACUUUGAUUUUUAAACAUUUUCACAAUUCUGAUUAAGCCAAAUAAACUUUCCUUUUACAA